rnacentral:rRNA from 1 species
AUGAACGCUGGCGGCGUGCCUAAUACAUGCAAGUCGAGCGAACGGACGAGAAGCUUGCUUCUCUGAUGUUAGCGGCGGACGGGUGAGUAACACGUGGAUAACCUACCUAUAAGACUGGGAUAACUUCGGGAAACCGGAGCUAAUACCGGAUAAUAUUUUGAACCGCAUGGUUCAAAAGUGAAAGACGGUCUUGCUGUCACUUAUAGAUGAAUCCGCGCUGCAUUAGCUAGUUGGUAAGGUAACGGCUUACCAAGGCAACGAUGCAUAGCCGACCUGAGAGGGUGAUCGGCCACACUGGAACUGAGACACGGUCCAGACUCCUACGGGAGGCAGCAGUAGGGAAUCUUCCGCAAUGGGCGAAAGCCUGACGGAGCAACGCCGCGUGAGUGAUGAAGGUCUUCGGAUCGUAAAACUCUGUUAUUAGGGAAGAACAUAUGUGUAAGUAACUGUGCACAUCUUGACGGUACCUAAUCAGAAAGCCACGGCUAACUACGUG